CACAAGCGGAGGAACAUGUGGUUUAAUUCGAUGAUACGCGAGGAACUUACCUAGGGCUUAAAUGUAGAGUGCAUUUUUAGAGAUAGAAAUUCCCUUCGGGGCUUUCUGCAAGGUGCUGCAUGGUUGUCGUCAGCUCGUGCCGUGAGGUGUCGGGUUAAGUCCCAUAACGAGCGCAACCCUUAUCGUUAGUUGCCAUCUGGUAAUGCAGGGGACUCUAGCGAAACUGCCACCGUAAGGUGAGAGGAAGGUGGGAUGACGUCAAAUCAGCACGGCCCUUAUGUCCAGGGCUACACACGUGUUACAAUGGUCGGUACAGAGGGCAGCUACCUGGUGACAGGAUGCUAAUCUCGAAAACCGGUCUCAGUUCGGAUCGAAGUCUGCAACUCGACUUCGUGAAGCUGGAUUCGCUAGUAAUCGCGCAUCAGCUAUGGCGCGGUGAAUACGUUCCCGGGCCUU
rnacentral:rRNA from 1 species